ensembl:lincRNA Gm12349 predicted gene 12349
GAAGAAGUACCCCGGAGAUGUUGAGGAGUCUCUGUGUUCAGAUCCUAUGCAAGAGGACACAAGGGCAGCACAGCCCUGGGCCACUUCACAAUCCAGCUGGCAAAGCGAAUAGACACAGAAGAAACUCAGGAACCAUCACGAGGGGGACAGACAAGAAAACUCCAGUCGCCCAUUGGCCUUCCUUCUAUGAAUCCAUCUUUGGCUCUCCCCGGGGCAGAAAGAUGGAGGCCCUAGAGAAGAUACUUGAGACUCAGCUCCUGCCUUCCAGAAGCCCUCAGAGCAUCAGAGAAGAGAAAGUGCAGCCACCACUCCCAGGGAAGAGGCAAGGCAAGCCAGUGCUGCUCAGCCUCUACCUGUGGCUGAACCUGAGACUCUGCAUUUCUGGCCAGCAACGCAGGAGAUGCGAGGCUGCAGUCUCAGUCGCAUCUGGAGUGGCUGGGAGUGGAGCAGGUGAGGGGGAAGACACCAGAAAACAGAGACAGGCAGAGCAGGAUGGGGCUGAAGCCAAGUGGCCGGGGACCGGGAUCUAGCUACAGCUUGGCUCUUACUUCAUUUGUUAGUUUCCAUCCCAGAGACCACAGUGUACAGCCUCACCAAGUGCCCACCUGCCCCGCUUCACCGAGGUCCCUAAGCAACACUGACACAGAACUGUCCAGGGCU